GGCAACAUGAAAGGGAGGCCCUCUCACAUCAUGAUAUUUUUUGAAGCACUUUGGACUAGGGAAAAGGGCAUGAGAUUCAGAAUGGGAAACUGAAAUGCCAGGUUCCGUUCUGCCAAUCCUGGCUAUGUGGCCUUAGGCACAUCAUCAACGUAACAGCCUUCGAUUUCCUCACGUGAAAUAAAGGAUUUGGACUGGUGAGCCCAAAGAACUCUUCAGGCUCUAAUUUUAUCUGGAAAAACGUAGUCUCUGGAAACUUGUGGAGGAUAAUUUUUGAGUAUCUACUAUAAACUACAGGCCUGUAUAUUUUGGAAAAUUGGUUACUGAGACUAAUAAGACUAAGUGCCUGAUCUCAGGAGCACCAAGUCCAGUUUGGAAAAGAGGACACGGAUGGUUCUGAUAUGAUGCAGUAAUGACAGUGAUAGACGUGUGUACAAGCCAGUGGCAGGAUCUUGCAGGGCAGGUUGUCUUGCUUCACACACGAGACAAAAUUUUCUAGAACAUUCCACCCAAGGAUCAAGAAAAUAGAGGAACAGCCCUCUCAUCUUUGGUGUAUUCCCAAACAAAACCUGCUGCUGUUUCUCCCCCAGCCAUGCUGUCUGCUUCCUGCUCGGGACUUGUGCUCUUGUUGAUAUUGAGAGGGACCAAUGGAGACUCAGUGACCCAGACAGAAGGCCCUAUUGUUCUCCUGGAGGGGACUCGUCUGACCCUGAACUGCACCUACCAGAGCAUCUAUUCAGUUUCCCUCUUCUGGUAUGUCCAGUAUCAAAACAAAGAGCCUGAGCUCCUCCUGAAAAGCUCAUCAGAAAACCAGGAGGUGGAUAACAGAGGUUUUCACACCAAGCUUGUUACGAGUGACAGCUCCUUCCACCUGCAGAAACCCUCAGUGCAAAUGUCAGACUCAGCCGUGUACUACUGCGCUCUGAGAGACACAGUGAGAGGGACUCAAGGGGAGCUGAGCACAAACCCAGAGGGUGCAGGUGGGUCUGGCUGUGGCAGCCCUGGCACCCUUCCUGUUCUGGAGGCUUCCUCAAAGUGCUUCCAGCUCUGAUGCCUCAGAGCCAAGGAGCCUUGGAAUUCUUGGAUGAGUCUGCAGAGAGGAAUUAGGGGAGGGUCAGUGUAAAGGGGAAACUAAGCCUGUUCUCCAGAAACGCCUCUGUUUUCAGCCCAGCCUCUUUCACCUAGAUGGUCUAUAAUUUCUGGAAAGUGACAUUAACUCUGCUUCACGACAGUUCAGUUCGUAUAUGUUCAAAUAUUUCACCACCUAUUAAUAAAAAUUCCCAGAGCAAACAGUU